rnacentral:lncRNA from 1 species
AAGAAUUUGGAGAGUUCAUAUGCGUUCUCAGAUUUGAGGAAUUUGAAAAAUGGCUUCAGUUGAGGAAUUUGACCAAUUAUAGUGGUGAUGAAUUUGACUAAGCAUUCUGACCCUGGGUUCCAGAGUUGUGCAGAUUCAGAACUUUGCACAAUUGAGGAAUCUCAUGAAGAAUUUAGUGGCUUAGAGAAAUUCAUCAAGUGUUUUGAGGAAUAACAG